CACAAAACAUAGUAUAAGAUUUUUUAGCCAUAAAACAUUGUUGGUCUUCUUAUCCUUUAAUAAAUUUGGUUUGAAUCUAAAC
rnacentral:sRNA from 1 species